rnacentral:lncRNA from 1 species
GUACACUUCAAAAUUUAAUAAUCUGUCCAUUCGAGUUGGAAUAUCUGAAAGUAAUGAACAAAUUACCUCUCGCUACCUUGCUGGUUUGAAUCAGUCCCUUAGAGAUGAAAUAGGCAUAGUCCGAUUACACAAUCUUGAAGAUGCUCGCCAAUAUGCCUUAGCAGCUGAAAAGUGAGUUUCUCGUUACAGUGCUAGAAGGUCCAUAAACAAAAGCAAUUGGCAAAAUAAUUUCGGAGCUGCAAGAGGGUUCAAACAAGUCAACAAAGCGGGAAAGAGGCUGCUGUUACUAAUAAAUACAAUGAAGAGACAACCCGUGUUGAUGGGAACGAUAAAGAGAAAGGUACAGUACCUUAUGGUGGACAAAACAAUUAUGGUUCGUCUACAGGGAGAGGCAACAGUUCUCAAGUUUGUUGUUUUACUUGUGGUGAAAAGGGACAUACUUCAUUCAUCUGUCCACAAAGAAGGGUGAAUUUAGGCGAGUAUGAUGAAGACCAAGGCCUUAUUUUUGAUAAAUAUGGUGAGGAAGUAGAAGAAAUUGAUGUUCACCAGCUCAAAGUGAGUCUUUAGUUGUUCGAACAGUCAUGACAACCAUGAAUAAAGAAGGAAAAGAAGAUUGGAGGAGGCGUAGCAUUUUCCGUACACAUGUUAUUUGUGAAGGUAAAGUGUGUAAUUUAGUCAUUGAUGGAGGAAGUAUGGAAAAUAUAAUACAAAGGAGGCUGUAGAUAAAUUAAAGCUUCCCACAACAAAACAUCCUCAUCCAUACAAAGUAGGUUGGUUGAAGAAAGGGCACGAGAUACCAGUAACAUCUCAAUGCUUAAUGCAAUUCACAAUGGGAGAUGAUUUGGUAGAUGAAGCACUAUGUGAUGUAGUACCAAUGGAUGUUGGGCAUAUUCUAGUGGGACGACCUUCGUCGUAUGAUCAUGAUAUGGACCACAAGACAAGGCCUAAUACUUAUUCAUUCUAUAAGGACAACAAGUACACUUUGCAUCCUCUCAAGGAAGAAACACAAGGCAAAUAGCAAAUAAAGGAGCUACAACUAGUAAAUUAAAUGGGCUUGUAAGUGUUAAAGAAUUUGCAGCGGUGCAUAGUGAGGUGGGAGUCACGUAUGCCUUAGUGAGCAAACUGAUAGGAGUUGACCAGGUUGAAAAAUUAGUUGAAUAUUCCUUUGAAAUUCAACGAUUAUUGCAGGAAUUCAAGGAGUUUAUUAGUGAAGAUGUAUUGAAAAGCUUCCGUUAAGAAGCAUCCAAAUUGCUAUUGAUUUAGUACCAGGAGCAGCUUUACCAAAUCUGCCUGCAUACAAAAUGCCUCCUUUACAACGGGCUAAAAUAGAAAGACAGGUUAAGGAAUUAUUGAAAAAAGGUCUGGUGCGUGAAAGUAAAAGUCCAUGUGCCUGCCCAGCCUUAUUAACACCAAAGAAAGACGGUUCUUGGAGAAUGUGUGUAGAUAGUCGUGCUAUAAACAAGAUUACAAUNNNNNNNNNNNNNNNNCUUUUAAGACACCGGAUGGGUUAUUUGAAUGGUUAGUAAUGCCAUUUGGCCUUUCUAAUGCACCAAGCACAUUCAUGAGAGUCAUGACAGAUGUACUCAAACCUUUCUUGAAUUCUUUCGUUGUGGUAUAUUUCGAUGACAUUUUGAUUUAUAGCCGCACCGAGGAAGAUCAUUUAAAACACUUGCGACAAGUGUUAAAAGUACUUCGUCAAGAGCAGCUGCACAUAAACCUGAAAAAAUGCAGUUUCCUGCAACCAGAAAUGGUAUUCCUAGGAUAUAUUGUGUCUACUGAAGGAUUAAAACCAGAUCCAGGAAAGGUUCGUGCAAUUAGCGAAUGGCCAGCACCGGAAUCCGUCAAAGAAGUUAGAAGCUUUCAUAGUUUGGCCUCUUUCUAUAGGAGAUUUAUCCAAAAUUUUAGUUCAAUUAUGAGUCCUACAAUUGAAUCUAUUAAAGAAGAAAAGUUUGAGUGGACAAAUUCUACAUAAAAGGCGUUUGAAAGAAUCAAGUUUUUGAUUACUAGAGCACCUGUUCUUGCACUUCCAGAUUUUGAGAAAUUAUUUAUUGUCAAAUGUGAUGCUUCACAUGAAGGGAUUAGAGCUAUUCUUGGCCAAGAGGGCAGACCUCUUGAGUUUUGUAGUGAGAAGUUGUCUGAAGCUAAGAACCGUUACUCAACUUAUGAUAUAGAGUUCUAUGCCUUGGUACGAGCUAUUCGACAUUGGCAUCAUUACUUAGCUCAUCGUGAGUUUGUGAUUUUUUCUGAUCAUCAAGCCUUGAGGUAUCUAAAAUCUCAGAAUAAACACAACAAUCAAUAUGCUAAUUGGAGUUCUUUCCUUGAUGAAUUUAAUUUCUCACUAAAGUAUAAAUCUGGUCAAUCUAAUAUUGUGCCUGAUGCAUUGAGCAGAAGAUUCCUAAUUUUGUCAAUUUUGAGCGCUCAAAUUACUGGUUUUGAAGAAUUGAAAAUCCAGUAUAAUUUAGAUUCAUGUUUUGGCAUAAUAAAGGCUAAUUUGCUGCAUUCUUCAGAAGCUGAAAGUCUGCCAUAUCGAUUGCAAGAUGGUUAUUUAUUCAAAGGGAAUAAGUUAUGCAUUCCUAAAGGAUCUUUAAGGUUUACUCAUCGGAGUUGAGUCUUUUUCAAACCCGGGGAGAAUAAUGCAAGAGCAAUCCUAGCCCUAAUUGGAUUCCUAGCACAACUAGGAUUUUAUUUAAUUUACUGUUUUAUUUCAGAUUUGCAUUAGUUUUCCGUUUCCUUAUUUGAUUGGGAUUUACUAUUUUAUCAUUGAAUAUGAGUAGAGUUUUAAUUCUUUCUUUAAUUAGGGUUCCUAGUCUAGUUAGGAUUUAUCAAUAUAAAUAGACAACACUAGUAGUAUUGUAAAUCAUCUUAUUUUUCUCAUAAUUUUAAUUCAAAGGUUGUAAACCUACUGUUCCACCUAGCUUACUUGUUGAAAACUGACAGCCCCCCUGCGUCACAAUUAUAACACAAGUUUGGAAUUGAGGUGGGGUUAAGUUUAUUUUAAGGUGGAAUUUACGAGUCGUAGCGUUGGGGUAUCACGAAUGGUUUAGCGGUUUUCCUCAAACUUUCAUAUCAAUAGUACCUUAGAUUAAAGUUAGCCGCUGCCAUAAUCAUAUUAUACCGAUUUUCAAACUAAAAUCAUCUUAUUCAUGCUAAAUUAUUCAUUAGAUUAGUUAAUAACUUAAACUAGUUUGAAAAAAAAUCAAUUUUCCCGAAAUAAAAUCGCAUGAACAAUGUUCAAGAACCUAGUAUCUUCUUAUCCAUGAUUCUACUAACAAUUUCCCCAAAUAAACUAUGAAAUAAGUGAAAUACUUGAAGGAAAAGGAUCAAAUAUAGCUCACCGAGCCAUAAAACGCAUCGGAUGAAGCUAAAUGGUAGUCGAUAAUGAAGAGCUCGGCACCACAGUUCGCUAUCCCUUUCUUUUCUCGCUAAAUCGCAAGCUACAGUUGAUCAGAGAUGGAGGAGUGGUGGUCGUGAGGUACUAGAGAAGAGGUAGGUUGGCCAGUUAUGAAUUGUUGUCCCGAUCGAUAAAAAGCUCCAUCUGUCUCUCUCGUUUUCGCGCCACGAUUGGCAGGCUGGCGAUGGUAAGAACGAUGGCCGGAGAUGUUACUAAAGAGGAGAAGGGAUCAUAUCAGCCGGCUAAGGGCUGGCGUUGCAGGAAAAAUUCCAAGGAAAAGAAGAGGGGUCGGCGGACUCGGAAAGAGAGAAAAAGGAGAAUGGACAAAAUGGAUAUUAUGGAUUUUCUACAGCUUUCUAGUUGGUUAGGGCUGAUUUAGGUUUGAUUUGAGUCCGGUUUGGCUCAAAUCAUGGGUUUUUCUUAGUUUUCAAUUGCUU